rnacentral:rRNA from 1 species
GAUGAACGCUGACAGAAUGCUUAACACAUGCAAGUCUUUGGCGAAGCUGUGCUUGCACAGCCUAGCCAAGGCGGACGGGUGGGUAACGCGUAAGGAACUUGCCCUGCAGUCAGGGAUAACAGACGGAAACGACUGAUAAGACCUGGUAAAGUCAGGCGGACUCAUGUCCAGCCUGAUGAAAAGAGAUGCUGCAGGAGAGCCUUGCGUCCUAUUAGCUUGUUGGUGGGGUAACGGCCCACCAAGGCGAUGAUAGGUAGCCGGCCUGAGAGGGUGGACGGCCACAAGGGGACUGAGAUACGGCCCUUACUCCUACGGGAGGCAGCAGUGGGGAAUAUUGGACAAUGGGGGCAACACUGAUCCAGCAAUUCUGUGUGCACGAUGAAGUUUUUCGGAUUGUAAAGUGCUUUCAGCAGGGAAGAAAAAAAUGACGGUACCUGCAGAAGAAGCGACGGCUAAAUACGUG